rnacentral:rRNA from 1 species
UACGGAGGGGGCUAGCGUUGUUCGGAAUUACUGGGCGUAAAGCGCGCGUAGGCGGAUCUUUAAGUCAGGGGUGAAAUCCCGGGGCUCAACCUCGGAACUGCCCUUGAUACUGGAGAUCUUGAGUCCGGAAGAGGUUAGUGGAAUUCCAAGUGUAGAGGUGAAAUUCGUAGAUAUUUGGAAGAACACCAGUGGCGAAGGCGGCUAACUGGUCCGGUACUGACGCUGAGGUGCGAAAGCGUGGGGAGCAAACAGG